rnacentral:rRNA from 1 species
UGCCAGACUCCUACGGGAGGCAGCAGUGGGGAAUAUUGCACAAUGGGCGCAAGCCUGAUGCAGCCAUGCCGCGUGUAUGAAGAAGGCCUUCGGGUUGUAAAGUACUUUCAGCGGGGAGGAAGGCGAUAAGGUUAAUAACCUUGUUGAUUGACGUUACCCGCAGAAGAAGCACCGGCUAACUCCGUGCCAGCAGCCGCGGUAAUACGGAGGGUGCAAGCGUUAAUCGGAAUUACUGGGCGUAAAGCGCACGCAGGCGGUUGAUUGAGUCAGAUGUGAAAUCCCCGGGCUUAACCUGGGAACUGCAUUCGAAACUGGCAGGCUGGAGUCUUGUAGAGGGGGGUAGAAUUCCAGGUGUAGCGGUGAAAUGCGUAGAGAUCUGGAGGAAUACCGGUGGCGAAGGCGGCCCCCUGGACAAAGACUGACGCUCAGGUGCGAAAGCGUGGGGAGCAAACAGGAUUAGAUACCCGGGUA